rnacentral:rRNA from 1 species
AGUGAACGCUGGCGGUGUGCCUAAUACAUGCAAGUCGAACGGCAACACAGUAAGCGUUUUCUCCUGCGGUUGGCGAGUGGCGGGUGGGUGAGACAUACAUAGCCAUCCACUAAUACGUGGGUGACAUCGGGGAACAACAUCUACUACUACCGCAUACAACGUACGGCAGAAAGCAGGAGUUCAAGGGGGCUUUGGCGAUACUUUGAGAUGGAGCCGCAUUAGCUAGUUGGCGUGGUAAAGGCACACCAAGGCAACGAUGCGUAGCGGAUCUGAGAGGGUGAUCGGCCACACUGGAACUGAGACACGGUCCAGACUCCUACGGGAGGCAGCAGUAGGGAAUCUUCGACAAUGGGCGCAAGCCUGAUCCAGCCAUGCCGCGUGAGUGAUGAAGGUCUUCGGAUCGUAAAACUCUGUUGUUAGGGAAGAAAAAAAGCGGAUGAAACCACGCACGUCUUGACGGUACCUAAAGAGUAAGCACCGGCUAACUUCGUG